AUGGCAAGGUGUGUAUGGAGUUUAUGUGAUCAUCAACUAACACAACAUGUAUGUGCAUCUGAGUGCCUCGAUGCGGAUUGGCUUUUUCAUCUACUGGAAACGACACCCCAUGAGGAGUACGUCGAAAUACUGUUGAUGCUGUGGGCGAUAUGGACUGCUCGCAGGAAAGCAAUCCACAAAGCAAUUUAUCAAAGCCCUGUAACAGUGAGGGGUUUUGUCACCAGUCUUCUGGAAGAGCUACAGCUGGUCACGGAUCAGAAACAAAGUAAACAGGAGCUGGGGGCGAAGAAGAAGCAUCAACCAAGCCAGGCUUGGAUUGCACCGCCUUUGAACUUCAUGAAAUUAAAUGUUGAUGGAGGCGUGGCGAAAGUACAAGGCAAGGGAGCAGCAGUAGUAGUCUGUCGAAGUGCGGAAGGUGUUUAUCAAGGAUCUUCAGCUCGCGUUUUUGAUGGCAUAACAGACCCUCCUUUACUAGAAGCCCUCGCGUGUUGUGAAGCAAUGGCCCUAGCAAAGGAUCUUGGCAUUCAAAAGCUCGGUAUUGCCUCUGAUGCAUCAGAUGUGAUUAAAGCGAUCAAACAUGGAAGUAGGUGCAGCUGCAGCUCGGUGUUGAAGGAGAUCGAGCAUAGGCGGCAGGACUUCCAAGUGGUGGAAUUUGUCCAUGAAGGCAGAGAGUGUAAUACUCAUGCACAUAAUUUGGUUAGGAGUGCUCUGUUCUUAGAUCACGGUCGAUAUGUUUGGCUUCUUGAGCCUUGGGAUGUAACAUUUGUACCUUUAUUUGUUGAUUAA
rnacentral:rRNA from 1 species